rnacentral:tRNA from 1 species
GGGGGGUUGCCCGAGUGGCUAAAGGGGGCUGACUGUAAAUCAGCUGGCUAGGCCUUCGGCGGUUCGAAUCCGUCACCCCCCA